GACGAACCGUGCGAACGUUGUUCGGAUUCACUGGGCUUAAAGGGCGCGUAGGCGGCUUGCCAAGUCAGUGGUGAAAUCUUUCGGCUCAACCGGAAAAUGGCUGCUGAUACUGGCGGGCUGGAGGGAGGUGAGGGGCAGAUGGGAACUUCCGGUGGAGCGGUGAAAUGCGUAGAUAUCGGAAGGAACGCCGGUGGCGAAAGCGAUCUGCUGGAUCUCUUCUGACGCUGAGGCGCGAAAGCCAGGGGAGCAAACGGG
rnacentral:rRNA from 1 species